rnacentral:ncRNA from 1 species
AUUAGAUUAAAACCAAUCGAGCUUUAAACGGCUCGUUAAUUGGUGACUCUGAAUAGCUUAGCUGAUCGCAUGGUCUAGUACCGGCGACAUAUCUAUCAAGUAUCUGCCUUAUCAACUUUCGAUGGUAGUUUAUGUGCCUACCAUGGUUGUAACGGGUAACGGAGAAUAAGGGUUCGACUCCGGAGAGGGAGCCUGAGAAACGGCUACCACUUCACCAGAAC